rnacentral:rRNA from 1 species
AAUCAUAGCUCAGGAUGAACGCUGACGGCGUGCCUAACACAUGCAAGUCGAACGGACUUACAUUGAAGCCUAGCGAUAUGUAAGUUAGUGGCGGACGGGUGAGUAACGCGUGGGUAACCUGCCUUGUACUGGGGGACAACAGUUGGAAACGACUGCUAAUACCGCAUAAGCGCACAGCUUCGCAUGAAGCAGUGUGAAAAACUCCGGUGGUACAAGAUGGACCCGCGUCUGAUUAG